rnacentral:rRNA from 1 species
GAUGAACGCUGGCGGCGUGCCUAAUACAUGCAAGUCGAGCGAACAGACGAGGAGCUUGCUCCUCUGACGUUAGCGGCGGACGGGUGAGUAACACGUGGAUAACCUACCUAUAAGACUGGGAUAACUUCGGGAAACCGGAGCUAAUACCGGAUAAUAUAUUGAACCGCAUGGUUCAAUAGUGAAAGACGGUUUUGCUGUCACUUAUAGAUGGAUCCGCGCCGCAUUAGCUAGUUGGUAAGGUAACGGCUUACCAAGGCAACGAUGCGUAGCCGACCUGAGAGGGUGAUCGGCCACACAUGAACAGAGACACGGCCCAGACGCCUACGGGAGGCAGGAGUAGGGAAUCUUGCGCAAUGGGCGAAAGCCUGACGGAGCAACGCCGCGUGAGGGAUGAAGGUCUUCGGAUCGUAAAACUCUGUUAUUAGGGAGGAACAAAUGUGUAAGUAACUAUGCACGUCUUGACGGUACCUAAUCAGAAAGCCACGGCUAACUACGUG